CCGCUCACUUCUCCUGUUUCGAAUCACUAUUUCGGAAAUGGGCAUACCUCAUCUCGCUCAUUCUCUCAUUUUUUCUCUCCUUAUCCUCCUCUUUUAGGUUGAUGCGCAACUUUCCGCGCCUUGAAACAGAUCUGGUAUUUGGCGC
ensembl:ncRNA R186.9 ncRNA